rnacentral:rRNA from 1 species
CUUGCAAACUAAAGAUGGCGACCGGCGCACGGGUGAGUAACACGUAUCCAACCUGCCGAUAACUCGGGGAUAGCCUUUCGAAAGAAAGAUUAAUAUCCGAUAGUAUAUUAAAACCGCAUGGUUUUACUAUUAAAGAAUUCGGUUAUCGAUGGGGAUGCGUUCCAUUAGUUUGUUGGCGGGGUAACGGCCCACCAAGACUACGAUGGAUAGGGGUUCUGAGAGGAAGGUCCCCCACAUUGGAACUGAGACACGGUCCAA